GACGAACCGAGCGAACGUUGUUCGGAAUCACUGGGCUUAAAGGGCGCGUAGGCGGGUUCUCAAGUCCGGGGUGAAAUCCCACAGCUCAACUGUGGAACUGCCUCGGAUACUGGGAGUCUCGAGGGUGGCAGGGGUAUGCGGAACUAUCGGUGGAGCGGUGAAAUGCGUUGAUAUCGAUAGGAACUCCGGUGGCGAAGGCGGCAUACUGGUCCACUUCUGACGCUGAGGCGCGAAAACCAGGGGAGCAAACGGG
rnacentral:rRNA from 1 species